rnacentral:rRNA from 1 species
GAUCAUGGCUCAGGAUGAACGCUGGCGGCGUGCCUAACACAUGCAAGUCGAGCGGAGAUAAGUGAAGCCUAGCGAUUCUUAUCUUAGCGGCGGAUGGGUGAGUAACACGUGGGUAACCUGCCCUGUACUGGGGAAUAACAGCUGGAAACGGCUGUUAAUGCCGCAUAUGCGCACGGAGCCGCAUGGCUUUGGGCGGAAAGAUUUAUCGGUACAGGAUGGGCCCGCGCCGGAUUAACUAGUUGGCGGGGUAACGGCCCACCAAGGUGAUGAUCCGUAGCCGACCUGAGAGGGUGACCGGCCACAUUGGGACUGAGACACGGCCCAAACUCCUACGGGAGGCAGCAGUGGGGGAUAUUGCACAAUGGGGGAAACCCUGAUGCAGCGACGCCGCGUGAAGGAUGACGUAUUUCGGUAUGUAAACUUCUAUCAGCGGGGAAGAAGAUGACGGUACCCGACUAAGAAGCCCCGGCUAACUACGUGCCAGCAGCUGC